UACGUAGGGUGCAAGCGUUGUCCGGAAUCAUUGGGCGUAAAGAGCGUGUAGGCGGCUCGAUAAGUCCGCUGUAAAAGUCCAGGGCUCAACCCUGGGAUGCCGGUGGAAACUGUCGGGCUAGAGUCCGGGAGAGGCGAGUGGAAUUCCUGGUGUAGCGGUGAAAUGCGCAGAUAUCAGGAGAAACACCAAUGGCGAAGGCAGCUCGCUGGAACGGUACUGACGCUGAGACGCGAAAGCGUGGGGAGCAAACAGG
rnacentral:rRNA from 1 species